rnacentral:rRNA from 1 species
AGGUCUUUAUGAAACCUCUUGAACACAUUGUACAACUUUCAGCACACUGGAUUACAUAUGAUUUCAGAAGCUAAACAGGAUUGGGUCUGAUCAGUACUUGAACUAGAGCCUACCAGGGAAUACCUGAGACCUC